ACAGAUCCAAGAUACUGCCAGGAUUCUCGUUUAUCUGUAAAGCUAAUGUAUGUUGAAAAGGAGAAAGUAACCAUAGCGUCCAUCUUGUGCAGGGACAAAGGAUAAGGAAAAGAUCUGAAUGUCCACAGAUGAUUUAAAGAGCUAGAAGACUAAUUGCAUGCCUCAUUCGUUUGAAUCAGGAGCUCCAAACACAGAGGACAAAAACUAUUUGAAGGUGACUUGAGGGAGAGAAAGGGAGCAGUCUCCGGAAGAUGCUGGACCUGACUCUUCUUUAUGAAGGAGGUGGUUCCAUGUGCCCUAAUGUUCAGUGCAGCAGUAUUUUUACACUAGCCAAGACAUGGAAGCGACCUAAAUCCCAAUGACAGGAGAAUGGAUAAAGAAGAUGUGGUACAUAUAUACAACGGAC